GAAGUGCGAUAAGUGUCAUGACUUGCAGAUUCCCGAGAGCUGACUAAUUUCUGAAUGCAAAUGGCGACCGCGUGAAAAGCCGGUCAUGUAUUGCAGAGUGUAGUUGUUCCGACUCAUCAUCCCCUCUUCUCAAAUCAAAAACCCAACAUCUCACGGUGUUGUGUUUGUGAGAAGAGAGAUUGGGAUCUGCGCUUGCGAUAUCACAAAUAAACACGCGAGCGUGAAAUCACGAGCGUCCUUUUGGGUCUCAACCAUCCAAAAGGCGACUUCGGAUACAACCGUCAGAAGUUCUGGAAGCGCUCAAACCCUUCUAAAACUUUAGACAGCCACCUCUGCGAUGCAGGAGAACCCGCUGAACUUAA
rnacentral:misc_RNA from 1 species